UACGGAGGGGGCUAGCGUUGUUCGGAAUUACUGGGCGUAAAGCGCGCGUAGGCGGACCUGCAAGUCGGGGGUGAAAGCCCGAGGCUCAACCUCGGAACUGCCUUCGAUACUGCGGGUCUCGAGUCCGGGAGAGGUGAGUGGAAUUCCUAGUGUAGAGGUGAAAUGCGUAGAUAUCUGGAGGAACACCGGUGGCGAAGGCGGCAUCCUGGACCGACACUGACGCUGAUGAGCGAAAGCCAGGGGAGCAAACGGG
rnacentral:rRNA from 1 species